ACGGGGUGCAGCAGGCGCGAAAACUUUGCAAUGUGCGAAAGCACGACAAGGUUAAUCCGAGUGAUUUGUGCUAAACGAAUCUUUUGUUAGUUCUAGAAAUACUAACGAAUAAGGGGUGGGCAAGUUCUGGUGUCAGCCGCCGCGGUAAAACCAGCACCUCAAGUGGUCAGGAUGAUUAUUGGGCCUAAAGCAUCCGUAGCCGGCUCUGUAAGUUUUCGGUUAAAUCUGUACGCUUAACGUACAGGCUGCCGGGAAUACUGCAGAGCUAGGGAGUGGGAGAGGUAGACGGUACUCGGUAGGAAGGGGUAAAAUCCUUUGAUCUAUUGAUGACCACCUGUGGCGAAGGCGGUCUACCAGAACACGUCCGACGGUGAGGGAUGAAAGCUGGGGGAGCAAACCGGAUUAGAUACCCGGGUAGUCCCAGCUGUAAACUAUGCAAACUCAGUGAUGCAUUGACUUGUGGUCAAUGCAGUGCUGCAGGGAAGCCGUUAAGUUUGCCGCCUGGGAAGUACGUACGCAAGUAUGAAACUUAAAGGAAUUGGCGGG
rnacentral:rRNA from 1 species